rnacentral:rRNA from 1 species
UAAGCGGAGGAAAAGAAACUAACAAGGAUUCCCCUAGUAGCGGCGAGCGAAGCGGGAAGAGCUCAAAUUUGUAAUCUGGCGUCCUCAGGGCGUCCGAGUUGUAAUCUAUAGAGACGUUUUCCGUGCCGGACCGUGUCCAAGUCCCUUGGAACAGGGUAUCAAAGAGGGUGACAAUCCCGUACUUGACACGACGACCGGUGCUCUGUGAUACGUUUUCUACGAGUCGAGUUGUUUGGGAAUGCAGCUCAAAAUGGGUGGUAAAUUCCAUCUAAAGCUAAAUAUAGGCGAGAGACCGAUAGCGAACAAGUACCGUGAGGGAAAGAUGAAAAGCACUUUGGAAAGAGAGUUAAACAGUAUGUGAAAUUGUUGAAAGGGAAACGAUUGAAGUCAGUCAUGUCCAUUGGAUUCAGCUGGUUCUGCCAGUGUAUUUCCUUUGGACGGGUCAACAUCAGUUUGAGCCGGCGGAUAAUGGCAGAGGGAAUGUGGCACCCCCGGGUGUGUUAUAGCCCUUUGUCGCAUACGUCGGCCCAGACUGAGGAAUGCAGCUCGCCUUUAUGGCCGGGGUUCGCCCACGUACGAGCUUAGGAUGUUGGCAUAAUGGCUUUAAACGACCCGUCUUGAAACACG